CCUACAGGGGCCAAGGAGGAAAAAAACAAGGCAGGCUGAAGUGAAUUGAUAAAAUAAAAUAAUACUGGGUAGGAAGUUGUCUCCAGGCGGAAACUCCUGAUAAAAAAAUAAAAUAAAAAACUCCAGGCAUGCCUCCAGGAACAAGCCCACAGGAAGGAAAAGAGAGGUGACUCACCAAAGCAAACCCACUGAAUGCAGAAACGACAAAGGACAAAAUUAAAGCAACUACAGCACAGAUGUAGAGAGAAGGAAACCUGUAGGGACCCAAACUGAUGAUGUCUGAGGUUGUUUGAAGCAAUGUCUGGGUAAACCAUUCACCACUGGCAGGUCAGGAGCUGCAACCCGUAAGUGAGGGAGGCACUUCUCCAGGCCAUGGCAGGGGCCCAUGGAGAAUUUGCAGCAGCUGCAUGCUA